GUUUGUUCUGGAGGUGCCUGCCUACCUGAGACUUUCUUAAGCAGCUCAUCCCUGCUCCCUGCAGCACCUCGUGGUGUGGCACCUACUAUGCUGACUGCUGUUUCUUCCUUUCUCAGAAUUUACUUUGUUAAAGUGUGGUACAACAUUUGUCCAAAUUGAUUGAAGAAAUGCAAAAGCAGUAAAAAGGGUUUGGACCCACCUUUUCCUUCUGCAAAAUGUUAGGGGAAUGAAGAGUGAAAUGAAUUUUCAGAAUUACGGAAUGGUUAAGAUUGGAAGGGACCUUCAGAGGCCAUGUGGUCCAACCUGUCAGCUCAAGCAGGACCAUUUAGAGCUGCAUGCCCAGGCUCAUGUCCAGGUGACUUUUGAAUAUCUCCAAGGAAGAAAACUCCACAAACUCUCCAGGCAACCUGUGCAGAGGAAAAUACGUGGUUUUUGAUGUUCAGAUGAUUUCAGUCUCUGCCCAUUGCCUCUCAGCCUGCCACUAGACUUUCCCUUGUUGAAUCUCAUGAAGUUCCUGUCAGCCCAUUUCUCCAGUCUAUAUUUCCCAGAAUCGUUUUCUAGUCUUCGUCUGUCAUCUGAUUUUCCUUUUCUCUCCCAACUUUAUUUGAACAAGGUAGCCCAACAAUGUGUAAUCACAAAGUUAUCUGGGGGAAAUAUGUUCUCAACACAUCUGUAAUUCUGUAGAAAAUUAUUCUAGAAAGCAAGCCCUGAAGUCAAGGGCAAGGAUUCUACUGAUUCUGUAACCUAUCAUUUAGGGUGUUACUCUGAGUCACUGCACAAAAGAUAGUUCAGUGGAGCACAGGGUCUUUCAGCAGCAACAGCCUCCUCUGUGGUACUUGUGGACAUCCCUUCUGAUGCCUGUUUGGUGUCAGAACAGAAUCUUCACCAGGAUCCAGACACCAAAAAUUAGACAUUGCAAUUCUGAAUGUCACAAUACAAUACUUCACAUACAGAUUUAACACUAAGUUUGACAUACAGUUUAUAAGAACUAUGAAUGGAUACUUCUUAACAAAAGCAAGCCUAAGAAUAAAAAACAGGUAAUGCUAUCCAAAUUUUCUAAUAGUAAGAUAUCUGCUUUUAUUCUUUGGUUUGAAAUGAAGAAUAUACUCUAUGCAUUAUCUUUCAGCCAUAUCAGUUCUAUAAUUGAAUUACGUUCCAUAAAAGACAUUUGGAAACAACCAUGUGUUUUGAUUUCUCUUGUGGUUUCUCUCUUCCAUUUGUACCUAAGAAGAAAUGUGAGACUAUGUUUCUAUGCCUUUCUGAGAGGCAUAAAAAAAAGUUUGCUUCCAAGGUUUUACACUAGAUGUUACUGUAUUUUGCAACAAUAAUCUAUGCCAAGGUAAUCCUAAAACUAUAGUGGAAAACAGAAAAUACAAUAGCAAGCUUAAUAAAGAUAUGGAAAUAUAUUUCAAAUAUGUUUGUAAAGUAUUAACUGACUGUAGGAAAUUAGGUAGAAAAAAUGAAUCAUAUUUAAUAUUUAAAUUUAUCUGAAGAAACAAUAAAUGUAGAGCAAUUAUAAACAGAUGUGAUUUAGUAUCAGGAAAUCACUGCUCAACCACUUGGAGAAAACACUGAAAGUUGUGCUAUCAUGCUUGUUUAACAAGUGCAGUAACUUCAGAAGUUAUUUAAGUUACCUAUGCUUAGUGUACUAUACUGUAGGAUCAUCUACUUAGGGACAUACUUUUAUGGAGGUGAUACCCAUGUGAUAAUCACCAUAAUCAU